rnacentral:rRNA from 1 species
UACGGAGGGUGCAAGCGUUGUCCGGAUUUAUUGGGCGUAAAGGGUGCGUAGGCGGCGCGGUAAGCGUGCGGUGAAAGCCCGGGGCUCAACCCCGGGUCGGCCGUGCGGACUGCCGGGCUGGAGCACUGUAGAGGCAGGUGGAAUUCCGGGUGUAGCGGUGGAAUGCGUAGAGAUCCGGAAGAACACCGGUGGCGAAGGCGGCCUGCUGGGCAGUAGCUGACGCUGAAGCGCGACAGCGUGGGGAGCAAACAGG